rnacentral:lncRNA from 1 species
UGCUAUUAAGAUGUUGCCUGCGGCCUUCUGGGAAGUCGCGUGGCUGGUCUCGCGGGAAGAUGUGACGGCUCCGCCCUCUGGCCCGUAGCGUCAGCCUUGGCCGGAGAGGCGGUAGAGUAGGGGAGCUUUCAGCCUGUGACGAUGAUUUGUGGCAGCCGAGGAACACAGCCCAACGUAGCUUGGUUGUCCAGAAUUAUAAGUCAGAUUAUAAAUAGGCAAGCCACAUUCGAUUUGAAUAGAAUUUAAAUAACAGCCGUAGCACAUUUUGCAUUAAUACUUCUCCGGGCUGCACUUUCUUAGGGCCUAAAACCGCUAUUGCUUUGAUGUUUAGAGAUGUUAACUACCUUGAUGGAUUUCAGACUUGUAAUUAGCAACCAGGGUGUCAGUGAGUGAAUCGAAACUAGGAUUGGGCCCUGGUUGUGAAUUUAACACUGUGCUUAGAGCAUUCUUUCUUCACAGUCCAGUUUACCAGCUGAACUAGAAAAACGACAACAUUUUCAUGGAGUGAAUCGUGGAACAUCUGAACUAUUUCCGUAUUUGGGGAAAUUGAAGCUGAAGUGGUAUUUGGAGUCUCACUCUUCCCACUCCCUGAAAAUACUGGCAUUGGGAACCCAACAGUAGUAGUGGGAAGCAGGCAGCAGAGGAAACGUGACCAACAGAGAUUCCCUAACUAGAGUGCUGAUGGGGCCGGACUUUGGCUGUAGUUCCUGCUGCAUGGCCUCC